rnacentral:rRNA from 1 species
GACGAACGCUGGCGGCGUGCUUAACACAUGCAAGUCGAGCGGUAAGGCCCUUUCGGGGGUACACGAGCGGCGAACGGGUGAGUAACACGUGGGUGACCUGCCCUCAGCUCUGGGAUAAGCCCGGGAAACUGGGUCUAAUACUGGAUAUGACUCCAUGACGCAUGUUGUGGGGUGGAAAGCCUUGUGCGGCUGGGGGAUGGGCCCGCGGCCUAUCAGCUUGUUGGUGGGANGAUGGCCUACCAAGGCGACGACGGGUAGCCGGCCUGAGAGGGCGACCGGCCACACUGGGACUGAGACACGGCCCAGACUCCUACGGGAGGCAGCAGUGGGGAAUCUUGCGCAAUGGGCGAAAGCCUGACGCAGCGACGCCGCGUGAGGGAUGACGGCCUGG